rnacentral:rRNA from 1 species
AGAGCGAACGCUGGCGGCAGGCUUAACACAUGCAAGUCGAGCGCCCCGCAAGGGGAGCGGCAGACGGGAGAGUAACACGUGGGAACGUACCUUUCGGUUCGGAACAACCCAGGGAAACUUGGGCUAAUACCGGAUACGUCCGUAAGGAGAAAGAUUUAUCGCCGAAAGAUCGGCCCGCGUCUGAUUAGCUAGUUGGUGAGGUAACGGCUCACCAAGGCGACGAUCAGUAGCUGGUCUGAGAGGAUGAUCAGCCUCACUGGGACUGAGACACGGCCCAGACUCCUACGGGAGGCAGCAGUGGGGAAUAUUGGACAAUGGGCGCAAGCCUGAUCCAGUCAUGCCGCGUGGGUGAUGAAGGCCCUAGGGUUGUAAAGCCCUUUCGGGCGGGAAGAUAAUGACGGUACCCGCAGAAGAAGCCCGGCUAACUUCGCGCCAGCAGCCGC